rnacentral:rRNA from 1 species
UACGAAGGGGGCUAGCGUUGCUCGGAAUUACUGGGCGUAAAGGGCGCGUAGGCGGCACGGCAAGUCGGGAGUGAAAGGCCUGGGCUCAACCGAGGAACUGCUUCGAGACGUGACCGAGCUAGAGUGCGGAAGGGGCAACUGGAAUUCCCAGUGUAGCGGUGAAAUGCGUAGAUAUUGGGAAGAACACCUGAGGCGAAGGCGGGUUGCUGGGCCGACACUGAACGCUG